rnacentral:rRNA from 1 species
GACGAACGCUGGCGGCGUGCCUAAUACAUGCAAGUAGAACGCACAGUUUAUACCGUAGCUUGCUACACCAUAGACUGUGAGUUGCGAACGGGUGAGUAACGCGUAGGUAACCUGCCUGGUAGCGGGGGAUAACUAUUGGAAACGAUAGCUAAUACCGCAUAAUAUUAAUUAUUGCAUGAUAAUUAAUGGAAAGGGGCAAUUGAACCACUACCAGAUGGACCUGCGUUGUAUUAGCUGGUAGGGGAGGUAACGGCUCACCUAGGCGACGAUACAUAGCCGACCUGCGAGGGUGGUCGGCCGCCCUGGGACGGUGACACGCCCCAGACUCCCUCGGGAGGCAGCCGUAGGCCAUCUUCGGCAAUCGGCGGAAGUCUGACCGCGCUGCGCCGAGUGAGUGAAGAAGGUUUUCGGGUCGGAAAGCUCGGUUGUAAGGGAAGAACGGGUGUGAGAGUGGAAAGUUCACACUGUGACGGUAUCUUACCAGAAAGAGACGGCUAACUACGUG